GGCUGAAAGGUAGCAGGCCUGGGCGUUGGUGAUGUGGGUGCGGGACU
rnacentral:SRP_RNA from 12 species